rnacentral:rRNA from 1 species
CGAUGAAGCCCUUCGGGGUGGAUUAGUGGCGAACGGGUGAGUAACACGUGGGCAAUCUGCCCUUCACUCUGGGACAAGCCCUGGAAACGGGGUCUAAUACCGGAUACGACCUGCCGAGGCAUCUCGGCGGGUGGAAAGCUCCGGCGGUGAAGGAUGAGCCCGCGGCCUAUCAGCUUGUUGGUGGGGUAACGGCCCACCAAGGCGACGACGGGUAGCCGGCCUGAGAGGGCGACCGGCCACACUGGGACUGAGACACGGCCCAGACUCCUACGGGAGGCAGCAGUGGGGAAUAUUGCACAAUGGGCGCAAGCCUGAUGCAGCGACGCCGCGUGAGGGAUGACGGCCUUCGGGUUGUAAACCUCUUUCAGCAGGGAAGAAGCGCAAGUGACGGUACCUGCAGAAGAAGCGCCGGCUAACUACGUGCCAGCAGCCGCGGUAAUACGUAGGGCGCAAGCGUUGUCCGGAAUUAUUGGGCGUAAAGAGCUCGUAGGCGGCUUGUCACGUCGGGUGUGAAAGCCCGGGGCUUAACCCCGGGUCUGCAUCCGAUACGGGCAGGCUAGAGUGUGGUAGGGGAGAUCGGAAUUCCUGGUGUAGCGGUGAAAUGCGCAGAUAUCAGGAGGAACACCGGUGGCGAAGGCGGAUCUCUGGGCCAUUACUGACGCUGAGGAGCGAAAGCGUGGGGAGCGAACAGGAUUAGAUACCCUGGUAGUCCACGCCGUAAACGUUGGGAACUAGGUGUUGGCGACAUUCCACGUCGUCGGUGCCGCAGCUAACGCAUUAAGUUCCCCGCCUGGGGAGUAC